AUUGAACGCUGGCGGCAGGCCUAACACAUGCAAGUCGAGCGAUCGGCGGACGGGUGUGUAAUGUCUUGGGAUCUGCCCGAUAGAGGGGGAUCACUACUUGAAACGGUGGCUAAUACCGCAUACUAUCGGUUGCACCCAUAUGGUAUUAGCUAGUAGGUGGGGUAAAGGCUCACCUAGGCGACGAUCUCUAGCUGAUCUGAGAGGAUGAUCAGCCACACUGGGACUGAGACACGGCCCAGACGCCUACGGGAGGCAGCAGUGGGGAAUAUUGCAAAAGGGGCGAAAGCAUGAUGCAGCCAUGCCGCGUGUAUGAAGAAGGCCUUAGGGUUGUAAAGUACUUUCAGCGGGGAGGCGUUACCCGAAGAAGAAGCACCGGCUAACUCCGUGCCAGCAGCCGCGGUAAUAG
rnacentral:rRNA from 1 species